GGGUGUAAACAUUUUUAGAGUGUGCACUCUAAAAACAGUUGCCCCCUUUGGGAUGUAUAUUUGUCCCACAACAAUAAUCGUCAUCUACCUUGCUUGCGUUUUCUUUCUUGAAAACUCGGCGCUCGCUACUGUCCUGUCCAGAAUGCUGUGUCACACUGAUAACGUGCAAGCCGCUCGUUACUGAGAAGUACCGGGCUCGCAGCGUUAAAGAAAGGAAACGCGGGCAAGACAGAUGACGAUUAUUGUUGUGGGACAAGAUAACCCCCAAAGGGUGUAAUUUUUUAAGAGUGUAAGACCUUUUUUAGAGUGCACUCUAAAGAAGGUUUACGCCCUUUGGGGUGUAUAUCUGCCUUGCUUGCACUGUACAAAAAGUUUACACCCUUUGAAGUGUAUAUUUGCCGGGCUCGCCGCGUUAAAUAAAUGAAAUGCGGACAAGACAGAUGACGAUUAUCGUUGUGUGGCAAAAUGGUGUAAUUUUGGCCUUAAGAGUCUGGUCGCGAAACUCUCGAAUGAGUCCGAAACAAAGUGAUUUGAAGUGUGGACACAGAACACCUGUGUGGAUACACUUUUUUUGUAAGUAAACAAUUCACCCUAUUUCAGUUACAGCGACGGCUGCACGGCGUUGGGGCAUGGCAACAUGAGUGGAAAAAAAUGUGAUGCUCCGGAGCCGUCCUUAAGCUCAUGAACCUCAAAGUCUGGCUGUGAUUGGUGUAAAUAAUCAGUUAUGGACAUGUUUAUAGACGCCUUUGCCAUUAGCAACAAGUGGGGAGGGAGGCCUUUCUCCAUUUGUCGUUCCGUACGAGACGUUCAUUUGAGGGAUCGCCAGCCAUUUGUGCGCAGGCGCGAGUAAGAGCGGGAGCGAGAGAGAGAAAAUCUGAGCUUUUGCUCCUUGAAUGAUAUGACUGCCAAGGCCGGAGGAGGUUUCUUAGCGCGUGUUGUAGGCGUGCCGGCAUUGCGGAGGAGGGUCGAGUUUGUUUGCGCUCGGAUGCUGGCUGCCGGUGAAGCAGCGGGGACUGACGCCCGAUUUGGCGACCGCUGUGUCGGACAGACUGUCUCGCACCUGCGGCGCUCAGUCAGUCGUGGCGGAUAAUAGCUUUCUGGCGCCUUACGGCGAUGUAUUUUGGUUCUUUAUUUUAUGGAUGUACCCUGUAAAUAACAUCACAGAUGUUUAUGUGGGAGCAUCAGCGACUGUAGUGGAGCACGGGCCGCAUAUAUUGAAAAUCUAGCAACCGCGGUUGAGCGCAAGUGGCUGCUGAAAGGCCGCCGGUGGCGAUGACUGACUCAGCACCAGCGCUGCAGGCGCGAGAAAGUCUGUCCGACGUACCUUCAGGGGCAAAGUUCUGACUGGUGUUGUAGAAGUCGCGGUAGGGCUGCUUAUAUUGACUGUGUAUGCAUGCAUGCACCUAUCGAACUUCGUGCACAUAUAGACGUGAUGCUUUGAAGAUAAAUGCUUAUUAAAAUUCAAAUUAUUUAUUUCUGCCUUGUAAAGGUACAGACAGCAGAGGCGCAGAAAAAGCUGUCAGAUACAGAUUGACAAAGCCGCAGCCCCCUUUCGCUUGGCAGAGCCUUUACAGCGACACUUUUAAAACAAAGACAAUUGCACCCGGUAAUAACAGGUAUACAAUACUGAGCAAGUACAAAAGGAAACCAAUCAAGAUUAUACGAUAUUUGUACAAUACUCCCAAACAAGAAAACAGAACCUACAUGCUAACGUACAUAGCACCCAAAGUACUGUUCGACGCGUUGAAGAGGUCAAAAUUAUUGUUCACAUAAGGUAUAUACAUAUUCGUAUAGCGCUACCAAUCCCUGCAAAAUAUAGAACGCAGAUUUUCAUUACACACACGCACGCACGCACGUGCACAGCACACACACCAAAAGGAAACGGCAACGCGCUCACAGGAAGCGCCUGAAAAACGAAAAAAAAGGAAAAGUGUGGGGAACCGAGGUCGUCUUGGGCUGUCGCCUCUCCCUCUCCCAGAAGGAUUGAAGAGGUUCUUGGAAAGCAGGGACGGGCGAUUCUCUCUGUCAGCAUCAGCUCCCACCAGCGAGGACGGGGCGAGAAAGCGAAACGGGGCUUUCCUUGCUGUCUAUUUUUUCUUCGUCAGGCCAACGCCGCCUGCUCACAGGGGCGCAGGCGAGUUCCGGCCAAAUGGCGCGGGGGCGCAAGCAGUUGCGUGAGUUGCCGCCAAAUAGCUCUGGAUGCCAGCUCGUUCCGCGUCUCUUGGUAGACUAGUUGGUGCAUUUCUGCUAUCAUGGACUGCGCAUAUAAACGCAAACUACACAAAAGUGACAUGGACAAGAACAGCGCAAGCCCUUUCCAUGCAGUGGAGCCGCCGUAUCUCGCCGUUCAAGAUAUGCGUACUCGAAGAAAAAAAAAAAGAGGCUUUACAUGAGAACGGAUCAAGCGUUCGAGAGUUGGGACAGGGAAAUGUGAGACGUACUUUCAUGUAUAUAUUUCUAAUAUUAUUUUUUCGUCUUGUAUUCUCGUUAAUUUUUCUCUAGGAAACACUGGAACGACACUGCUUAAAUUGAAGCACAGUGUGCGAAUGACCUGCUACGCUCGGAACUGUUAUCACCAUUCAGGAAGAAAUUGGAUGAAAAAACAUAACUGUAAAUACCUGUAUGAUAUACGUCUGGUGCAUUGCAGGUAAGAAUGGAUUGUGUGUGGCGCGCUUCACCGCAUGUGGACUAGAGUAGAUCUAGGAACAUCAGACAAGAAGACACGUAUGUGAAACCCUGCAGAUAGCCCAUAUGUGAACUUUUUUUCCAGAUACGGAGGAACGGACACCGGUCGUGCCGUGAGCACUAUUCUGCAGGGCAUUGUUGGAUAUCGCACCGCUGGCACGAGUUGUUGGGGUCUCGGUGCUGACGCCCGUUAUUGCCAAUGGGUCGCAAUCUCCAAGGGUAGCGUUGGCCUGGCGGCCUGGGGCACUGGAAGCAUCCGAAGGUCCCGGCAAAGCAUGAGAAGACUGCAUCUGUGAGGAGCACGUUCCCUGACGCUUCACUAGCAUCAGUGGCUGGAGUCGCAAAACGCCGGUUGGUUGGAGCAGCUGACAGGGAUGGAGGCCGGAAUGAAAGAAGGCGCCGUGACCCUGCUUCAAGCCCACCAAAUAUGAACUAGUGUUUGAAACUUGUGAACGUGUCGGUGUACAUAUACAAUUACAAGAAAUAAAGACCUGUAUCAGAA